AGGUUGACAUUUGCGUGUUUCUUUUCGAUGUCAUGUUUGCUAAUGGAGAGCAGCUGCUAGAUGUUCCUCUUCGCAAAAGAAGGAAAUAUUUAAAGGAUUUGUUUCAGGAGGAGGAGUUGGGUUACUUUGGGUAUGCAAA